rnacentral:lncRNA from 14 species
ACAGAAUUUAACUUGUGAAAGGCAUCUCUACCAAUUUCAGAAGGUCAAAAGUACAAACUUAUUCUAAAAGAGACUCGAAAAUCAUCAAAGAACUGGCUAAUGAGUAGCUAUCAGUGACAAGGAUGUGGAGGCAACCUGUGACAUGAUUAUCAUCAUGUAUUAAUGAUACGGAGCAUACAAACUGAUCCAUUGGAACACAAAAUUAUAACAUACAAAUUUAUGUAAGAGGGAUGACUGCAAAGUGCGUUGCGGCAUCCGCUCCAUCUCCAGGCAGAGCUGCAGGACUUUUCAUGUAUAAAUAAAUAACCUGGUGUAAGACAGAUUAUGUUCCUUG